rnacentral:lncRNA from 1 species
UUCUCUUUUCAGGGUGCUCCCUAUAUGGACCUCAGAUAUUAGAAAGGCUGCUUGAAGCUUUGUGCUAAAGGCCAUAGAAGCUUCCUGCAACAAAACGAACCUGUGCUUUCAGAGGGCCCAGUAUCACACUGUGCGACUGUACUGCACUAGGAGCUAAGGACCAUCACAUUCUACUGCAAGUAUGAGGUCCUGGUCCUGCUCUUUUCUCCAGUCUGGAGCAACGUUUGGAGGAGCCCAGCAGCCUGGUCCUUUCCAUAGCUUCCAAGGAUUUCUAGGAUCACAGGAUUUACAGACCCUCAAAAACCUCUGGAGGACAUGAGCUGUGGAUAAAAGCCUCUGGAAGCGCCUGCCACCUCUCUUACCUCUUGUUUCUUGCUGGGUGACUGCAUGCCAUUUGGGAAGGGAGCCUCUCCGCUCUCAGAGGAUUACGUCUAACCAGGCACUUGCCAUCCCCACUGGAAUACUUCUGCUACAUUUUCCCAGGAUGGAGAAAUUACUACACUCAGCAGAAGGAUAUUUUUCCCCUCUCCCAGAACUUUUCAAGUUCAGCGGUGCUCUUGUCCGGCAGGUAUCACAGAAUUUCAACAGGACUUAUACUGUGUUUGCUUCAAUGCUUUUGAAGAAUCCAAGCCUUGUGUAACAUAAGCUGGUUGGUGUGAACACAGGGAACGUGUUGCUUCCGUGAAGUUACAGUUAGCUCUGUGCUGCUUGUGCUCCGCGGCCUGGAAGGCAGGAAAGUGGCCACUUGUCCUGGCGCCUGUCGUUCGUGUAACGGAAGGAUUCCCG